AUACGUAGGGUGCGAGCGUUGUCCGGAAUGAUUGGGCGUAAAGGGCGCGUAGGCGGCCCGGUAAGUCUGGAGUGAAAGUCCUGUUUUUAAGAUGGGAAUUGCUUUGGAUACUGUCGGGCUUGAGUGCAGGAGAGGUAAGUGGAAUUCCCAGUGUAGCGGUGAAAUGCGUAGAGAUUGGGAGGAACACCAGUGGCGAAGGCGACUUACUGGACUGUAACUGACGCUGAGGCGCGAAAGUGUGGGGAGCAAACAGGAUUAGAUGCCCUGGUAGUCCACACUGUAAACGAUGAAUGCUAGGUGUAGGGGGUAUCGACCCCUUCUGUGCCGCAGUCAACACAAUAAGCAUUCCGCCUGGGGAGUACGGCCGCAAGGUUGAAACUCAAAGGAAUUGACGGGG
rnacentral:rRNA from 1 species